ensembl:lncRNA
AAGCUAAUUAACAUGACUUUAAAAUAGUAGGUAAGAAACAAGGGGCUCUGAAGGAUGAUACCUCACUUUCUGCUCUGGUGGGGUUUAUGACUUUCUGCUCUGAGGCAGGAAAACACUAGAGGGAUAAUAUAUUUUGAAGGGUAUUUUAAGUUCAUUAUGGACAAGUAGACUCGGAGGUGUUUUCAUCCAAGUGGAUAAUUCAAGUAGAACGUUGGACUUCAGAGGAAAAGCUUGAACGGAUGAUGUGCAUGUGGGAAUCAUCACAACAAAAAUGUGCAAAUUAAAAGAGUAAGGGUAAGAAUAUCUCCAAGUAAAGACUAUAGCGGGAGAAAUGGGUCUAGUGUUCACUCCUAAGGAAGUUUCUCAUCUAAUGUAUGCAAGAAAAUAAACCAGGAAAGAACACUGACAAAUAAAUGGUAAACAUAUAAGAGAAACCAUUUGGUUUGGAAGCUAGAGAAAGACAGAGUCGUGAAGGAGUGUUUGCCACAUACAUGCUUACAAUCACCAAGAACCCAAGUUAAAUGGGAAGCAAUAAAGGUCCUUAGGUUAGGGGCAUGGGGGUUAUCGCAGGUCGUGACAAUGGAGGUGGCGUCAAGAAGACAGAAGCUGUGCUUUAUUGGAAGGAGAAGUGAAAGGGGAGAACUGGAAACAGAAAAUAUGUGGGGUGGGCAACAGUGUACGAGGUUGGAGACAGGGAGAAAGCUGAGAAUGAAUGGACCCAUGCAGAAAUCACCCCAGAUGUCCACACCAGGACUCCUUUCUUUCUGGACCUGGCUUUGAAUUUGUCUGGCUCUGAGAGGGCAUGGCUCUUCCUAGGUAGAAUUCAUCUCCAGAAGCCAUCUUGCCACUUCUCUAACCAGUUUUUUAGAAUGAAACACAUGAACCACAGAGGUCAGAAGAGGACAUUUCAUCUCCUCCACGCCUUUCAACCUCAAGUUCCACCCUCAUACUGAGCUCUUCCAGAAUCCUGAGCAUCUCUGUUCAUUCUUAAUCCACCUGGGGACAAUUCUCACUGUGAAAUAAAACAAUCUUGAACUUCUUCAGGGAAAUCAGAAUUUGUGACCAACACAUGUCAGGCCUCUCUAAAUCUCAGAAUUCAGUAAAUUGAUAAGCAAUACUAUUUUACUCCAUUCCUUUCAAAAGAAAGUCAUGCAUUUGCAAGCAACUAUAAUUAGAUGUUGAGGAGCUUGAACCCCUAAAGAUAGUUUCUAAGUAAAAACUAGUAAAAAAAAAAAAAUUCCCCAUUGGUGAAGUUUAGGCAGUAAGCGUCCAUUGCCUACUUUUAGAUGGACAUUUAGGACUUUUUUUUUUUCCCUUAGGGCCAUACCCAUGACAUAUGGAGGUUUCCAGGCUAGGGGUCGAAUUGGAGCUGCAGCUGACAGCCUAUACCACAACUGCAGCAAUGCAGGAUCUCAGCUGCAUUUUGAGUCCUGCACCACAGUUUGUGGUAAUGCCAGAUCCUUAACCCAAUGAAUGAGGUCAGAGAUUGAACCCACAUCCUCAUGGAUACUAGUUGGGUUCUUAACCCAGUAAGCUACAAAGGAAAUGCCCCACUCCUUAUUUUGAAGCUGAUUCUGCCACUCACUUAUGGAGAGAUUUUAGAUAAAUUGCUCUGUCCAGAGAUCCCUUUUUCAUAUGCAAAUGAGGAGAAGUUAGGUUAAAUUAUUUUUUCCAACAAACAGUAAAGCUUUACAAUGCAUUACUUGAACACUUUACACUUAGAACAGAUGCAUGGCUUUAUUCAAUGUUUCCAGUUGUGUUCCUUAAUAAAAGUAUCAGACUAAAGAGGGUUACAAGUUUGUGUUAAGUACAUUCUUCAAGGAAGCUAUAAGAGGGUUAAAUAGUUAUUUGUGGCACUAAAGCAAUAGCAGUGCUUUGCUCUGAUUCUGAAAUGAAAGGAAGCCAUGAGUAUUCAAAAAAAAAAAAAAAGAGAGAGAGAGAGAGAGAGAAGAAAAUAAUUCCCUCCUGAAGGCAGCUAUUCUGGGAGCCUGGAGAGUGCACACCCGGCCUCAUCAUGACCUGCCAAUCAUGAGGUGACUUCAAAGAAGGUAGGUCAGCUAUCACCCACCUGACUGCAGUCUCUGAGGAAGUUAGGAGCUGACUGGAGGAGAAGGUACUAAUGAAUGUAAUAUGUCUUGACUUUGCAGGAGGCUGAGCUGAUCACUUCCUGGGACUGAACCUUACAUAAUAGUAGGAGAGCUGCACCGAUGAGAUUAGAGGAGAGAUAGUGCUUCCCACUUGCUAAGGGAGUUGGGUGAUACUGAUCAAAAAUAAUAUGUAUUAACGACAUAAAUAAUUCCAGCACUGACUCCUGAGCUUUAACUAAAAAAAAAAA